rnacentral:rRNA from 1 species
UUGGAGGGCAAGUCUGGUGCCAGCAGCCGCGGUAAUUCCAGCUCCAAUAGCGUAUAUUAAAGUUGUUGCAGUUAAAAAGCUCGUAGUUGAAUUUCAGGCCUGGCUGGACGGUCCGCCCUUCGGGUGAGUACUGUCUGUGGUCGGGUCCUACCUUCUGGCGAAGCGUCAUGGCCUUAACCGGCCGUGGCGGGGAACCAGGACUUUUACUGUGAAAAAAUUAGAGUGUUCAAAGCAGGCAAAUCGCUUGGAUACAUUAGCAUGGAAUAAUGGAAUAGGACAAUGGUUCUAUUUGUUGGUUUCUAGGACCGUUGUAAUGAUUAAUAGGGAUAGUUGGGGGCAUUAGUAUUCAAUUGUCAGAGGUGAAAUUCUUGGAUUUAUUGAAGACUAACUACUGCGAAAGCAUUUGCCAAGGAUGUUUUCAUUAAUCAAGAACGAAAGUUAGGGGAUCGAAGACGAUCAGAUACCGUCGUAGUCUUAACCAUAAACUAUGCCGACUAGGAAUCGGGCGAUGUUGAAAAAAUGACGCGCUCGGCACCCUAUGGGAAACCAAAG